GAUGAACGCUGGCGGCGUGCCUAAUACAUGCAAGUCGAGCGAAUGGAUUAAGAGCUUGCUCUUAUGAAGUUAGCGGCGGACGGGUGAGUAACACGUGGGUAACCUGCCCAUAAGACUGGGAUAACUCCGGGAAACCGGGGCUAAUACCGGAUAACAUUUUGAAUCGCAUGGUUCGAAAUUGAAAGGCGGCUUCGGCUGUCACUUAUGGAUGGACCCGCGUCGCAUUAGCUAGUUGGUGAGGUAACGGCUCACCAAGGCAACGAUGCGUAGCCGACCUGAGGGGGUGAUCGGCCACACUGGGACUGGGACACGGCCCAGACUCCUACGGGAGGCAGCAGUAGGGAAUCUUCCGCAAUGGACGAAAGUCUGACGGAGCAACGCCGCGUGAGUGAUGAAGGCUUUCGGGUCGUAAAACUCUGUUGUUAGGGAAGAACAAGUGCUAGUUGAAUAAGCUGGCACCUUGACGGUACCUAACCAGAAAGCCACGGCUAACUACGUGCCAGCCGCCGCAGUAA
rnacentral:rRNA from 1 species